GACGAACCGUGCAAACGUUGUUCGGAAUCACUGGGCUUAAAGGGCGCGUAGGCGGGUUCGCAAGUCUGUGGUGAAAGCCCCCAGCUUAACUGGGGAAGUGCCGUGGAUACUGCGAAUCUUGAGGAGGGUAGGGGCAUCUGGAACGGUCGGUGGAGCGGUGAAAUGCGUUGAUAUCGACCGGAACUCCGGUGGCGAAGGCGAGGUGCUGGACCCUUCUGACGCUGAGGCGCGAAAGCCAGGGGAGCAAAGCGGGGAUUAAGAAACC
rnacentral:rRNA from 1 species